CGGCUAUUUAAGUUGGAUGUGAAAGCCUACGGCUCAACCGUAGAACUGCAUCCCAAAACUAUUUAGCUAGAGUGUGGGAGAGGAAGAUGGAAUUAGUUGUGUAGGGGUAAAAUCCGUAGAGAUAACUAGGAAUACCAAAAGCGAAGGCAAUCUUCUGGAACAUUACUGACGCUGAGGCGCGAAAGCGUGGGGAGCAAACAGGAUUAGAUACCCUGGUAGUCCACGCCCUAAACGAUGAAUGUUAGUCGUCGGGUAGCUAGUCUAUUCGGUGAUGCAGCUAACGCAUUAAACAUUCCGCCUGGGGAGUACGGUCGCAAGAUUAAAACUCAAAGGAAUAGACGGGGACCCGCACAAGUGGUGGAGCAUGUGGUUUAAUUCGAAGAUACGCGAAGAACCUUACCUAGCCUUGACAUAUUUUAGAACACUUUAGAGAUAGAGUGGUGCCUUCGGGAGCUAAUAUACAGGUGCUGCACGGCUGUCGUCAGCUCGUGUCGUGAGGUGUUGGGUUAAGUCCCGCAACGAGCGCAACCCUCGUCACUAGUUACUAACGGUUCGGCCGAGGACUCUAGUGAGACUGCCUUCGUAAGGAGGAGGAAGGUGAGGACGACGUCAAGUCAUCAUGGCCCUUACGGCUAGGGCAACACACGUGCUACAAUGGCCAGGACAAUGAGAAGCGAUACCGCGAGGUGGAGCAAAUCUAUAAACCUGGUCUCAGUUCGGAUUGUAGUCUGCAACUCGACUACAUGAAGCUGGAAUCACUAGUAAUCGUAGAUCAGCUAUGCUACGGUGAAUACGUUCCCGGGUCUUGUACUCACCGCCCGUCACACCAUGGGAGUUGAUUUCACCCGAAGCGGGGAAGCUAAACUGGCUACCCUCCACGGUGGAAUUAGCGACUGGGGUGAAGUCGUAACAAGGUAACC
rnacentral:rRNA from 1 species